GAUGAAGAACGUAGCGAAAUGCGAUACUUGGUGUGAAUUACAGAAUCCCGUGAACCAUCGAGUCUUUGAACGCAAGUUGCGCCCGAAGCCAUUAGGCCGAGGGCACGCCUGCCUGGGCGUCACACGUCGUUGCCCCCCCCAUCUACUCCUUCGGGAUUGCGGGGGGCGGAUGAUGGCCUCCCGUGCGCCUCGCCGCGCGGUUGGCAUAAAUGCCAAGUCCUCGGCGAUGCACGCCACGACAAUCGGUGGUUGCGAAACCUCGGUUGCCCGUCGUGUGCGGUCGUCGCGCAUCGAGGGCUCGAAAAAAUUGCCGGGUUCCGGCUCGGCUUUCAACGCGACCCCAGGUCAGGCGGGGUUACCCGCUGAAUUUAAGCAUAUCAAUAAGCGGAGGA
rnacentral:misc_RNA from 1 species